rnacentral:rRNA from 1 species
UACGUAGGGUCCGAGCGUUGUCCGGAAUUAUUGGGCGUAAAGAGCUCGUAGGCGGUCUGUUGCGUCGGUUGUGAAAACCUGGGGCUCAACUCCAGGCCUGCAAUCGAUACGGGCAGACUAGAGUUCGGUAGGGGAGACUGGAAUUCCUGGUGUAGCGGUGAAAUGCGCAGAUAUCAGGAGGAACACCGGUGGCGAAGGCGGGUCUCUGGGCCGUAACUGACGCUGAGGAGCGAAAGCAUGGGGAGCGAACAGG